GAAGAGGUUUGGAAAGACCCACCACAGAAGGUAAUAGUCCUGUAUGUUAAACGAGAAGACUUUAGAUAUGAUCCAGAGUACCACGGGACACGUGAAACCCUGUGGGAAGCAGGAGGGACCACCCUCCAAGGCUAAAUACUACCUAGUGACCGAUAGCGUAUAGUACCGUGAGGGAAAGGUGAAAAGAACCCCGGGAGGGGAGUGAAAUAGAACCUGAAACCCUGCACUUACAAGCUGUGGAAGCACAUUUCUUGUGUGACCGCGUACUUUUUGUAGAACGGGCCAACGAGUUACGUUAAGUAG
rnacentral:rRNA from 1 species